GACGAACGCUGGCGGCGUGCUUAACACAUGCAAGUCGAGCGGAGAGGCCCUGCUUUUGUGGGGUGCUCGAGUGGCGCACAGGUGAGUAUCACGUGAGUAACCUCCCCUUUACUUUGGGGUAACUUCAGGAAACUGGGGUUCAUACCCGGUAUGAGCUCCUUCUACAUGGUGGUGAUUGGAAAAUUGCGGCGGUUGGGGAUGGACACGCGGUCUAUCAGUAUGUUGGCUGGGUGGUGGCUUAACGAGGCGUUGACGGGUAGCCGGCCUGAGAGGGUGACCGGCCACAAUGGGCUUGAGGUACGAGCCGUACGCCUACGUGAGGCAGCAGCGGGGGAUAUUGCACAAUGGGCGGAAGCCGUAAGCAGCAAUGUCGCGUGCUGGAUGACGGCCUUCGGGUUGGAAACCUCUUGCGCCUGUAACGCAGCGCGAGUGACGGUAACGGGUAAAGAAGCAACGGCUAACUACGUG
rnacentral:rRNA from 1 species